CACAUUCAUAGCAAAAAAAUGUUGAUAACAUAUGUGACUAUCCUAUUUAAUUGACUUUAAGAUUACCAUCAUGAAUUUUGAGAGUGAUUUUAUUCUGAUGAAAAAAAUCUCUCAUUUACUAACAGCUUAUUUACUAUGAAAACUUAGUUAUCCAUUAGAUUGUGGAAUGGAAUUUUAUUUUACACAAAUGAAAGUCCCGCCAUGAAGUUUGGAAGGAAAAGGCUCUUGAUGUGUGAUGAGUGGUUUUUAGUGGUUUUGUGCUGAGCAGGUCUCUUUUCUUUGGGUAAAACUUAAAGUACUCUCUCACAUUCCCUGAUGGAAAUGAGAGGUAACUGAGUCACCCUAAGUGACAUCACUGAGUAGUGACAGAGCUAACAGUGAAAGCCAAAUGCUGCCCCCACCCCCACCUACUCCCAGGGCCGCGCGUGUCCGGUACCCACUGCCUCUACCGGAGGGAACCUCGCCGAACGUUAGAAGAACCACGUCCUCGAAGGGCAACUAAAUACUGUAACUUGACCGUGGAAAGUGUCGUGUUCUACUUUAAGAAAGACAGAAAUCUUUGUCUUUGGAUAUUUUGUUAUUUAUUCAAUACACAUUUGUAAGCAUUUACUACUUAGCAGAGACUAGGUAUAACAGGGAUCGAGUCCCGCUUUCCCAGAGCUGACGCUAGAGCGAGGGGCGAAGGCCUGGGGGCAGACAGUGCAUUUAGUACAUGACGUGUGAGGAGUGCAGUGAGGAAAGAUGAAGCCGGAUGAGGGCAUCAAGAAUGCUGUUUUGAGAGUAACCGGGGGAGGCCCCUCGGAAAAUGUGCCAGCUGAGCAGAGACCAAGGCCGUGUGGGUUUCUGGAGAAGGGCCAUCAAGGGGGAUUCUGGGAGGGGAAUGUGGGUGUGACCUCUGACUGUCCUUGUUUUCUCUGUGAAAGAAGCAGCACACUUACCAGCCAAGAAAGGGGAAAGCGUGAGAGCUUUCAUGAGACGCUCUCCCAGGAGAAUAGGGGAUAGAAUGGACUUAGUGGCAUGUGGUGGUAGAUUGUCACGCAGCACCAAGAGCCCAUCCUGGAUGUGAGUCAUGAACUUGAAACUGAAACGAGUUAGCAUGCUGUGUCUUUCCUCUACCGCACUCAGCUGAUGGGUGAAAGCUGGGUUUGAGCAGGGUUGGUACAAGGAACAGAGGAGCCGGGGGAUGUAUACAAGGGUGUGACUGUCAUUUAAGCAAAAGGAGCACAGAAUGGGUGAUGGAUAGAGAAAACAUAGUGGGUGUCGUAGUUUUGAGGUCCUGUUGAGGUCAAAGUGCUCGUAGAGCGUGGAUACCAGAGGGAACAAGCUGGAGAGUAGGACGUGGUGGUCAGGAUCUAGGAUGCUUGAGAUUGAGGUUUGGGGGAAGUUUAGAUAUUGGUAAUGACAAGAUACAGGGUAUGGCCAUGGGAGUGCCUGGUUGAGUAGUGAAAAGGUGGCUGGGGAGAGGAGGUCAGAAGUGAGAAUCCAGGGUUUUUGAUGCAUCAUUGCCAAGAAAAAUGACAGGAGUAGUGGUGGGGAGAUGGGCCCUGUAAAUAAGGGGGGGCGGGAUAGUCUGUGGGCUGAUGGCAUGAGCUCAGAAGACCUGGGGUCGGCAAGGAGAAGAUACGCUGGAUGUCUCCAAAUGCCUUCCUUGGGGGUGAGAUAAAAAACGGCCACCCGUGAAGUUUGCAAGGGAGGUAGCAUCCUCAGAAGACAGUGAGGUUUCGGAGGAUGUGGAGUUGACUGCGCUGGAGCGAGGGCAGGGCAAGACUCCUGCUGGCGGGAGAGGGACAGUCAGGCCCACUGCCUCCUGAUGGGACGUGGCUCUGCUCAUUUGUGGGGCAGGGAGUGAUGAGAGAAGGGGCAUGCUUACCAUGAGUUCUCGGGGCCCCCCUCAAUGAACUGAAAUCGUCAGUGACGUCAGCGGUUCUCAGAGUUCCUGGUGGGCAUGGGAUGAGCAUUUCCUGCGAGAGCUUCUUGGUACACGUCUGUCGCUCCUCAGAUCUGAUGUCCACCACCCAGCUAGGGGGUCGACCAGAGAUGGGUGUUUUAAAAGAAUGUCCCAGGUGUUGUGAAAAACCUCCUAAUCCCCUACUAGAACCAUAGUUUUUGUUUUGUUUUGUUUUUUGAGGAAGAUCAGCCCUGAGCUAACACCUGCUGCCAGCCCUCCUCUUGUUGCUGAAGAAGACUGGCCCUGAGCUAACAUCCGUGCCCAUCUUCCUCUACUUUCUACGUGGGAUGCCUACCACAGCAUGGCUUGCCAAGCGGUGCCAUGGCCGCACCCGGGAUCCGAACCGGCGAACCUCGGCCCCUGAAAAGUGGAACGUGCACACUUAACCACUAUGCCACCGGGCUGGCCCCCAGAACCAUAGUUUAAUAGGAACAUACAAUGUGACUUACAGAAAUGUUUCCAUACUACUUUUAAGGAACACAUCUGUAGCACAAAUCAAGUGCAUUGACGGAAAAAAUUCUGUAUUUUAUUUAUACAUUAAUGUAUACAGAUGUGCUGAAAACUAUUGAAAAGCUAUUUGUGGAUAUGAAUCCAAUGGAGUCAACUCAUGAGACUAUGAAAUACACGUAUUAGCAAAGUGUUGUGUUAAGAAAACUGUGACUCCCCCAUUCAAAGUAGCUUUUGAAGACACUAGAAGUACUUUUGAAAGCCAAAAAAGAUGAACCCUCACAAAGCUGAAAACAACACUGCAGACGUCAUCUAGGUGGAGUCACUAACAACUGAAAGAAGACAGAGUUUAAGGGAAAAAACCCAUAAGCUUUGGCACAUGAAACAGAGACCUCCCUCCUGAAAAAUAAAAAUGACGCCAUCUUGGUCCGGGUUGUGACCCGGGCUUCCAACCAACCGGCUGUAGAUCAGAGGUUCCCAUGACUUCUUCCUCGGGUUCGGUUAAUUUGCUAGAGCAGCUCCCAGAACUCAGGGAAACACGUCGGCCAGCUUCUUAAAGGAUAAGGUAAAGUCGACAGGUGAACGGCCGGGUGAAGAGAGAGAGAGGGCGAGGUCUGGG
ensembl:lncRNA